rnacentral:rRNA from 1 species
UGGGGAAUUUUGCACAAUGGGGGAAACCCUGAUGCAGCGACGCCGCGUGAUUUAGAAGGCCUUCGGGUUGUAAAAAUCUUUUCUAUGGGAAGAAAAUGACAGUACCAUAGGAAUAAGGACUGGCUAAUUACGUGCCAGCAGCCGCGGUAAUACGUAAGGUCCGAGCGUUGUCCGGAAUCAUUGGGCGUAAAGGGUACGUAGGCGGGUAAGCAAGUUAGAAGUGAAAUCCUAUAGCUCAACUAUAGUAAGCUUUUAAAACUGCUCAUCUUGAGGUAUGGAAGGGAAAGUGGAAUUCCUAGUGUAGCGGUGAAAUGCGCGGAUAUUAGGAGGAAUACCGGUGGCGAAGGCGACUUUCUGGCCAUAACCUGACGCUGAGGUACGAAAGCGUGGGUAGCAAACAGG